UGACAACCCCUGUUGGAUCUCCUGUUGGAUUGCAAUGAAGGCCUUCAAAUGGCUCUGUUAUUAAGAUAAGGAGGCACAUCUUGCAAUGAGAAGGAAAUGCAAAGGAAAUUAAGAAAGAGCCUGUUGAGUGAAAACAAUACUGGGGAAAAUAUUUCAACAGGGAUGGAGAUGAGAUUAAAUGUUGCCAGACAUCAAAGCAGGACAAAAUCUCACAGAAUUGUUCCUUGAUGAAUUUGUGAUUAAAGCAGACCACUUGUGGAUGGAGAAGAAGAAAGAAAACCAGAGGGUGGCAUAAAAUAAUGUCUGCAGGCAGACUUACAUAUUUCUCCCAUUUGCAAAGCCUCAGUAACUUGAGCUAUCUAACAGCCCAAUCUUAUACCACAUAUGGACUUUAUCUUCUCUGGCAGUACCAAUAAAACCACAUCAUGGACUUGGAAGGGGAUGUUUGAGAGACCGCUUUCUGCCCCAUUUGCCAUGUACAGCCCUUACAAUUACUGGGAGUGAAGGGAUAUCUUGCUGUUCACAACUCCUGAGCCAGACAACAGCACAUACGAUGCAGCCUACAAGAGUAUGGCUAAUAGUCUCACCUGACAAAACUACACAGUCCCCUGUUGCACAACACAGCUAUGCUGUCCAUGGUUCGGAAUUGCAUCUGUGUAGCAGUGCUAAUGGCAGAUGUUGUAAUAGUGGUCCCUGUUUUAGA